UCCCCAAGAAUUUGGGUGGUCUCAAAUCCCGGACGAGCCCCCAACUGAAAGACCCCCCCCAGAGUGGGGAGACUCUCACUCAAGUCUCGGGAUAAGCCAACACCCCAAUAAUUCAAGAGAGACC
rnacentral:pre_miRNA from 11 species